CCUACGGGGGGCAGCAGUAGGGAAUCUUCCACAAUGGGCGAAAGCCUGAUGGAGCAACGCCGCGUGGGUGAAGAAGGUCUUCGGAUCGUAAAACCCUGUUGUUAGAGAAGAAAAUGUGUGAGAGUAACUGUUCACGUUUCGACGGUAUCUAACCAGAAAGCCACGGCUAACUACGUGCCAGCAGCCGCGGUAAUACGUAGGUGGCAGGCGUUAUCCGGUUUUAUUUGGCGUAAAGGGAACGGAGGCGGUCUUUUAAGUCUGAUGUGAAAGGCUUAGGCUUAAACGGAGUAGGGCAUUGGGAACUGGGAGACUUGAGUGAAGAAGGGGAGAGUGGA
rnacentral:rRNA from 1 species